GCCAGGCGUGGUGGUGGGCGCCUGUAGUCCCAGCUACUUGGGAGGCUGAGGCAGGAGAAUUGCUUGAACCCGGGAGGUGGAGGUUGCAGUGAGCCGAGAUCGCACCACUGCCCUCCAGCCUGGGUGACAGAGCGAGACUCUGUCUCAA
ensembl:misc_RNA Metazoa_SRP Metazoan signal recognition particle RNA